CAGACGGGAUUCAGGUUAGACAGGUUAUGGAUGGUUACUUGCUGACAUUUCUCCACCGACCUGAUCAUUCCGAUAAUUAGCUGAGAGGCGUGAGGAGCCGUAGGAAUGACACGGCAGCCCAGUGCUCCGCGUGGGACCGCAGGCCUGGCACACGCCAAGCCCCGCCCCCCCCUGGCCAAGCCGCACCCCUCUCCAGGCCCCGCCCACGCUGAUCCGCGUGAGCUCCGCUGGCUCAGAUGCCAAGCAGCUGCAUGGGAAAAUAGCAACGCUAAGGGGUGGCGAAACCUCGGCGGGGGAUUAAAUGCGAUUAAACGCGACGCCCGUAUGGUCCUUCUGCAGUGCCUCCGGCGAGCGGGAGCCCGUCCCAGUGGCCUCGGCUGUCAGGCAGGCGUGCCAGGAUCCUCCCCCGUCCAGCUGGACCCCGGGCUGUCACAGAGGAACACAAACCCACACAAAAAAGGGACACUUAAACCCCACACAGAGAGUGUACAAAACAAGCACUUAGGAGCAAGUCAGGCGCGAGAAUGAAGACGCUUCCUGGUGACUCGGUUUAUUCCGUGAGGAGGGUCUCACAUCUUUGGUUGCUGUGCUUCAUCUCCGCGCACAAGACGGCAGGCCUUUCGAGGAUCCCCGAGGCAGACGGCGGGAUCAAGUGACUCCGACAAGAUGCAGGAAGAUCCCAUGACACCCGAUGACAGAUUUCCCUGGAAAACGGGGAAAGAGGGGACAUUGUCUCUAGCUAUGACUGUUUGUUCCUGCGCUGGUGGAGAUGUGACAGCACCCAGUCUUGUCUCAUGUCUGGAGACACAGCUUCUAACAGUACCAUACAGAUGGGCACAGGAGCUUCGAAGCGACACGCAAAAUUCCACCCCAGCAACAUAUAAACAAACCUUGUUUUUCUUUCCUGCAAUAGCAAAUCUUAUCCGAUUUUAGACAUGUAAUUUUCCAGUGGAUUGUGCUUGACUCAUUUCACCUUAGGCAAAUGGCUUUUCAAAACUAGCAAGUAAAAUCACAGCUAAUGCAAUAUUUUCACAAAAUGAUGAUUUUGAAUCUGUUGACAUUUUCAGAAUAUUUUAAAAUCUACGGGGAGAUCCUAUGUUGCCUGGGACACGGGCGAGUCGAUCUGUAACAUAUCAGAAACACGUGAAGCAAAUUACAGAAAUACUUCAGAUUCUAACUAUUGAACUGCAGAACACACAUCUGACACGUCAUGUUAGAGGAGCCAUUUUUACAGGGAGACGGCAUCACUCUAUAUUCUAAAACGUCCUUCUGUCUUCACAGUCAGAGUUCACUCUGUGCUUUUCAAUAGACAUUUUCAGCGCAUAUUUAUACUAGUCAUGUUUUAAACAAGUACAGCCACCUAAAGUCAUCCAGGCCAAUCGCAUGCAACACUACACAGCAUUUUAUUUAUGAAAUCAGCAAUGUUUCUGACUACUGUGACUAAUGUAACUACUGCUUUUAUGUGACACUGGAGAGGAUGCACCUAUAACAUUUCAUUGCUGU